UACCCUAUAUGUUGCCCAGUCUUAAUAGCUAUAUAACAAAAAAAAAAUCAUUCAAAUCUGUCCAGUAGUUCCGAAGUUUAGCGUGAACAGAUUUUUUUUUCAAAUUCUUUGUUGCUGUGACUCUAUCGCCUAAUUUUAUUUUUAUGUAAAUGUAUUCAAUAUACAGGAUUUUCUACUGUUUUAUUAAAUGUAUUGAUUUGACUUAUUUACUAGUAGAUUUCUGAUAUAAAAACCGUAAACCAAACACUAAAAGCAAUGUUUGUCCACUAUAAAUGACAGCGAAAAUACAAGUUUUAGUGAAAAUCCACUAAGUUGGCAACACUGGGGGUGUUUACAGGUUAUUUAUUUUUUGUUCUGGCCGGGGUGAUACGUAUACGACACUAUCAAUAUCAAUGGACACUUAGGUACCUACAUACUAUAUACUGUAGCGUAUACGAUAAUAUAAAAAAGGUAGGUAGGUACCUACACUACAGAUCUACAGCAGGCGUAAUAGGUACAGACGUAGUGGUGUGUAAACAAAAAAGCAAAACGCAAUGUUGAAAAAUCUCAGACAAUUAGAAGAGGAUUUAGAGAGCGACGAUGAAUUUCCAAGUCAUUAUGUUGAAACUCCAGAUAUCCCAGCAUAUAAGAAUGAUAGACGCUUUGACAAGCUUCAAUUUCCUUGGCUUAUAAAGUAUCUCAACAAAAAAAAAGAAUUGGCAGAUAUUUGGAAACCUGUCCUUUAUUCUACCAUUAAUGAACAAACUGUAUUAGAAAAAACAAAAGAAUUAAGCUAUGGAGAAAAAAUACUUAUAACUGAAGGUGUACUUAAUCAAGGAGACAUAACAUGCCUGAAAUGUAUAGAAAGCAAUUGUUCUGACUCAACAUUGCUUUGGCUUCUCAAUUUCUUCAUGUAUAAAGACUUGCAAUCUCACUAUAGCUUUAUGAGGACAUGUUUGACUGAAAGUCUUUUAGAGGAUACUUAUGAUUCAUCAUUGGACUCUAUUACAAAACUGCACAAUUUUGAAAUAGUAGUGGGUAACCAAGGACUUAGCACUACAUGAUUUCAGUGGUGUUGCAAAAGAUACACAAGAAUGUAAUAAUAAAAUAUAUAUUUUUUUUUA